GCGGCACUAGCGCGGUGGUCCCACCUGACCCCAUGCCGAACUCAGAAGUGAAACGCCGUAGCGCCGAUGGUAGUGUGGGGUCUCCCCAUGCGAGAGUAGGGAACUGCCAGGC
rnacentral:rRNA from 44 species